rnacentral:lncRNA from 1 species
UACCAGUAAAGGUUUUAGCUACCAAUUCUGUACAAGACAUUGUAGAUCUUUAGCUGGGCUAAAAAGUCACAUUCGAUCACAGCACCAGUAACAGUUAAGCUUCGUGCAAUAGCCAUACUCUAUAACGAGGGGGCAGCCAUAAUAUAUGCAUGUAUGCGUGCAUGAAUGUAUGUAUGUGUAUGUAUGUAAGUGUAUGUGUAUGUAUGUAUGUAUGUAUGUAUGUAUGUAUGUAUGUAUGUAUGUAUGUAUGUAUGCAUGUAUGUGUGUAUGUGUGUAUGUGUGUAUGUAUGUCUGUAAUAACUCAUGAUCAUAAUAUGUAGACUUCCAAUCCUGAACCGGGCGAUGCAUUAUAUUUCUUGAGCAAAACACUUCGUUUGACGUUGCUUCGGUCUAUUCAGCGCGCAAAAAUGUGCAGCCCGAAGACUGGCCAGGGUCCUGUCCUAGGAAAGAGAGUAUAGAUGGCAGAAAUCUGGCAAAGCGGCUGUAUGAGUUUAUAUGACUUAGAAAGGAGCUUUAUCCUUUAUUAUCCUCCACACACACACACACUGCCUUGUUGUGAAGUCACCUGUAUCCACUCCGUUCCGGUCUCUCGGGCUUUUUCGCAUGUGGGUCCUUAAAAUUCAAGCACUUGCAGUAUCUGGCUCUGUAUCUUGAUGGCAGUGCUGGAAUAUUUGACAAUAUACUGUGAUGCUCCGUUUCUGCUGUUUAUAUAAUUUUCAAUGCUAAAGUUUUUGUACAAUCCUUCCAGGAUUUUGCAGAUGCAUAUCACCGAAGUUUUUGAGCUUCUUCCAUUAGCUAACAUGUUGCAAUGGGACGAUCCCUCUCAUGUAGCUUCACCGGAUUGCUUUCAGUUCCGCACUCGAUGGAAGCAGUAAUUUAAGUGGCUGGAGACAGAUGUCCAUCAAAUGAUCAUCAAGAUUUCUAGAUCUCUCGUUCUAAAAGUUAUCAGGAUCCAUCGGGCCAGCCGCCUACAACUUGUUAACAACUCAGUAAUAUGCACCUGGAAAGGUCAAAGCUCAGGUCACGUAAUAAUUUUGACUCAGAGAUUGCAAUCCCUUCUGGAACAAAAUCUACACAUACACACACACACACACACACACACACACAUAGUGAGAGAGAGAAAAAGAUGGAUGCAUGGAUGAAUGAAUAGAUAGAUAGAUAGACAGAUAGAUAGACAGACAAACAGACAGACAGAUAGAUAGAUAGAUAGAUAGAUAGAUACAUACAUACAUAUACAGAUAGAUAGAUAGAUAGAUAGAUAGAUAGAUAGAUAGAUAGAUAGAUAGAUAGAUAGAUAGAUAUAUAGAUAGAUAAAUAGAUAGAUAGAUAGAUAGAUAGUUUCCUAUGUUUGAAAACGAAAAUAUAUGUCGGUAACAGAUAAAAAUCUUUCGGAAGCGGCAGUGGGAAUGCUAAAUGUCCAUUCCUCCAUUAAUAGGCUCUGAUGGUAGCAUGUAGCCACUGUCGAUGCACGCUAAGACCAAACCUAAAAACUAAAACCAUAUUUAUGCUGGAAAACUGAAAAAUAUCUGGUGCUGCAAUGUGCCUCCUGGUGGAACAUUCUACCGCCGCUGCUGAAGGAUUUUCGUCUUCUACUGAUAUUUUUGAAUUUUAAACACAGUUCAUCCAAAGACAUAUUCUUUUCUUUCUCUGGGCACAAGGCCCGACAUUUUGGUGGAGGGAGUCAGUCGAUUACAUCAACCCAGUACGCAACUAGUACUUAACUUAUUGAGCCUGAAAGGAUAAAUGGCAAAGUCGACCUCGGCAGAAUUUGAACGCCCAUAAGGGAUAUUAUCUCCGGAUGAAUAAUGCAAUCAAUUUCACACUUUCGCGAUGAAUUUGUGUUAACUGUGGCACAGAGAUGCUACAAUUAUGCUUAUACUAUAUUGUACAUUCCACGUCAGCGAGCUGGCAGAAUCGUUAGCACGCCGGGUGAAAUGCUUAGCAGUAUUUCGUCUGCCGCUAAGUUCUAAGUUCAAAUUCCGCCGAGGUCGACUUUGCCUUUCAUCCUUUCAGGGUCGAUUAAAUAAGUACCAGUUACGCAUUGGGGUCGAUAUAAUCGACUUAAUCCGUUUGUCUGUCCUUGUUUUUCCCCUCUGUGUGUAGUCCCUUGUGGGCAGCAAAGAAAUAAGAAACUUUAGCACGCCGGGCGAAAUGCUUACAUUUCGUCUGUCUUUAUGCUCUGAGUUCAAAUUCCGCCGAGGUUGACUUUACCUUUCAUUCUUUCCGGGUCGAUAAAUUAAGUACUAGUUCUGUACUGGAGUUGAUCUAAUCGACUGCUCCCUCUCCAAACAUCUCGGGCCUAGUGUAGAAAAGACUAUAUUUAAGUUAGUAAGUAUGUGUACGUGUCACAGCUUAUGUAUGUGUGUUUGUGCGUGUGUGCAAAAUCUUUUAAAUCCAUUGAUGUAUGAUGUGCGUUCAAGCUGGUGUACGUAUGUUUGUUUGUAAGCGUGAGGGUUUGUGCAUAUGUGUGUAUGCGCACAUGCAUAAGUGUGAGCGUGUGUGUGCAUGUGUGUAUGCGUGUGUGUGUAUGUGCGUAUGUGCGCGCGUGUGUAUAUGUGUGGGUGGGUCUGUGUAGGUGUGUGCACGCCCGUGUGUAUGCAAAAUAUUUUACGUGCAUAUAUGUAUGUUGUGUGUGUUUCACGUUGGUGAACGAGAUUUUGUGUUAUUGCCUGCCUGUUAAUGUCUGCGUAUGUUUAUGUGUGUGUACCUGUUUUCAUGCGUGUGUGUGCGUAUGUGUGUGUGAGCGACAGAGAGAGAGAGAGAGAGAGAGGGGGAGGAGAGAGAAAGAGAAAGAAUGAGAGAAAGAUAACGGGAGAGAGAAACAGAGACAGAGAGAAAGACAGAGAGAGAAAGAGAGAGAAAGAGAAAGCGAGAGAGAGAAAGAGAGAGAGAGAAAGAGAGAGAGAGACAGACAGACAGACAGGGAAGGAGUACUAACAACAAUUUAUCAAAAUAUCUAUUUUGAAGAUAUUAAUAUUAGCUGCCUUUUAUCUUUCUGUAGUUCUUUGUUCUUUGAAGUAAAAUUAUAUUUGUAAAAUACUUCAACGUCUGCACCCAGGCAGACAGUCGUGAACCUCUUACCAGAUGCUUAUGUAAGCACUGCUAGACGAGAGUAGAUGACCACCCAAGAGAUUAUUCUCUCUCUUCUGAAAAAUUUACGUGUACGUAUUUGUAUACGUAGGUAUAGAAUUCCGACCGCCCUAGUUACCUUCCUAAUCCGUAGAUCACCUCACCAUUUGUUUUUGCUGAUAAUCAGGUCUAUCUAAUAAGCUAAACCUUUAUAAAGAGUCUACUUGGUGAUCCAUCAUGGCGGCUAUCCAAUGAUUAAGCUACGAAAAGAAUACGCACAUGGUAUCUGUUGAGAUACGUCUAACUGGACAAAGAACAUCGCUUCAAUAGAAGAUAAUGAAGAAAGGAUCGCAAAAUAUGAUAUAUUUAUUUUAUUUCUGGGACAUUUUGUUUCGCUUACCUUUGAGGUAUACUGUAUAUUUAUGCACGUGACCUCUUUUAAUGGAUCAACCCUGAACGAGGUCCCGCAGCUCCAUUAUGUUUAAUAAUGCACGUAUAUUGAGUAUGUGAUAAUGAUGUUUACAUUAUAUAUGAGGUCUACAGAGGGAAAUUCUUACACACGUGUGUGUGUGUGUACUUUAUUUGUGGAUUACGAAGGAGAACCAUAUGGAGGAGAUAUCCAAAAUCAUUCUAGUACACCACUUGGGAAUCUUGGCUCUCGUCUCCAUUUGGGAUGACAAUACAUGAACUUUCUCGAGACUAUUAUACGGUGUUAUAAAAGAGAUAGAGUGACAGGAGAGUUGACGUAUAAAACUACCUCGAUUGCGAUCUCGCUUUAGCCACCUUCAUUAUUUCAUAAGUUUCACAUUACUAUUUUCGGAAUGAGUCAUUGAUUACUAUGGUAAAAUCUUUAUAUACGGACGGCGUAGAAUUUAGCUUCACUAACUGCGUCACUGAUGAACAUUAAAUUUCAUGCGAACAUGGUAUGGUAAUCUAAUACCUCUCAAUUACGGUGGGGAAUUUAUCUCUUUGACUGUUAUUUCUAGCAAUGCUCCCUGUAACCUUCGUCACAAGCUCCACUUAACGAGAUGGAAACUUCAAAGUUUUACUGACUAAACUGGUUUAAUACCGAUAGUAGAAAGAAUUUUCUACAAUACAAAUGGGUAUAUAUACAAUAUAAAGAAUAAGAAAAGGAAAAUAGAGAGUUUAAACUGACAUAUGUUAAUUUAUUACCAUAAUAUUAAUAAUUCCUACAGCUGUUUCGAUUCAAACUCUAAACCAAGAACAAAUUUAUAAAAAUUCACAUUUCGGGAAAAUUGUGAGUAAAAAUCUCAUCAUGGUAAAUCAGGGCAGAAAAUUACAUUAGAAGUUUGAAAUCCUUAAACAGACUGAAUUAAUCAAUAUAUGUUUCUGUAUGUAAGUCUUUAGUUUUAUUUUUUAUUUACUAAAAAUGUUAUUGACACUCACACUUACACACAGAAAUAUAUAUUGAUAAAUGCAGUUUGAUUAAGUAUCUCGAAUUUCUCAUGUAAUUUUUGGUCCUGAUUUACCCUGAUGAGAUUUUUACGCAAAAUGUUUCCAAAAUAGAAAUUUUUAAAAAUUUCUUAUUGGUUUUGAGUUUGAAUCAAAACAAUUGUAGGUAUCAUGAAUAUUAUGUUAAUAAAUCAACAUAUGUUAGUUUGAAAUCCGUGUUUCCUUUAAUAUACAUAUAUAUAUAUAUAUAUAUAUAUAUAUAUAUAUAUGAUACUUAUAUCUGUUUGUGUGUGUGUUUGUGCGUGUGUGUGUGUAUUUGUGUGCAUUUGUGUGUGACGGGCUAUUUCGUACUUAAGAGGGUUGUAUCUAUCUUUUCACCUUGCUUCUUGAUUAUUCGUGGGUCAAACGAGCAUGCAACAUAAACUAUAUAGCAUUUGUGGUGCGCCUUCUCCACCAGCAUUAGGCCCGGUCUGUUAUGCUCUAGCACCUGUUUGGAUUGGGAAAAGCCAGAAGAUUUUGCUAGUCUCCGACCUUGUCACUUUCUCCGGUUUGUUCUCAUAUCACAUCUUGCCUCUCUCUAGCCCCCACUUUGCCCUCAGUUUCCAAUGUAGGGGAAAACUGCCACAACUUGUAGUGGUUUUGAGCAAGUCUUGGACAUUUGUUCAUGAUAUGGGCAAUGGUUUCAUCUACUCCAUUGCAGAUGCAGCACUUGCUCAUUCCCAAAGAUGGACCCUCCAGUUCGUGGCCAGAAUUUGGUAUUACGCUACCAGUAUAGUGCUCUCGGUCUCUUUUUGAAGUGUUCCUUUCUUCAGCCAAUCCCACCUAUUUUUUCCAGUAACUUCUGUUGUGGCUACAUGGAAUUGAUUGUGUUGUCCCUUCUUGCGUAAUUCUUCUUCAUGUCUCUUUUUGUACUUCUUCCUUUGUUUUCCCUUUUGUUCCUGCUCUCAAUACUCCUUCGUUCCUCAGUGUCACUAGCAAGGUCUCCUUACUUUGAGCUAGGCAUCUCAUUUAGCUCUUGAGUUCGAUACGUACGCAGUCUACUAAAUCUAUCAGUCCCCUUCCUCCAUUUGCUCUCUUUAUCUAUAGGCGACCACAGCCGGCACGUGGAUGAUGUACUCUAUGCAUCGUUAGGAGCUUUCUUGAGUUCCUGUCCAUCUCCUUUAGCUCCUUCUCUGUCGACUUCAGGAUUCCAGCGCCAUACCGAACUACUGCGACUGCAGGUGAGUUUAUUGCCGGAAUUCUGUUUCAGGCAUUCUGCUUUGAAGUCACUAUUUUCCUCACUCGCUGCAGCUAUUCUCUUUUUGUCUUUCCCUACAUGCCGUAGUGUUUGAUUCCAUUUGCCUCACGUAUUCCCAGUUAUACCUAACAAGAUUGAAGUUGAAUCCCCUUCAUCAUUUCACCACUUGGUAGCCAUAUGCCUUCAGUCCUGGCAAGCUUUGCUCGUCUCAUCACCAUCGUAGCACAUCUUAAGAGUCCAAACCCCAUCUUAAUAUCAUUGGUGAAACUGGAGAUUUUCAGCUAUUCAUUCCCAGUGAACUUAGGUAAAAAAAAAACCUUAUUUUUUUAGCACCAUCCGGAGUAUUCGAGCGGUUCCAAGGAGUGAUGUUUUCUGCAAGUUCUUCACCCCUAUUGCAGCCCCUAUUUGUUCCAUAUACUUCUCAAAUUUUUUACUCGCUGUUCCCAGUGCCCCGACAAUUAUUGGUACUACUACCAUCGAGCACAAUUGCUUAACUUCCCAAGCUAAUCUGUCAUAUCUAUCAACUUUUGUUUCUUCCUUAUCGCAUAACUGGUUUAUUAUUAUUAUUAUUGUUAUUAUUAUUAUUAUUAUUAUUAUUAUUAUUGAGUGAGAGAGCAGUGCAUGCCAUCAAAGUGACACUGGGGUAAAGGUCCCUGAUUAUUAGUAUUAUUAUUAUUAUGACUAUUAUUAUUAUGCACUCAACUGGUUAAGGUCAAACAACUGACAAGCAAAUCUGUGGUAUUGAGCAGAAUAUUUGCUGUAGCCCAUCUUUUAUCCAAGACAAAACAAUGUACAUGAUAACACUUCCAAUCAGUUAAGAUCAGAAGCCAUGAGAGCCACUGACUGUUGAUUAUUAUUAUGAUAUUAUUAUUAUCCUCACAUCAGACUGUUGAAAGAAAAGAAUCUUGACAUCGGGCUACAACAAGUAACCUUAGGUGCCAAGAACCCUCCUAAGUAUUCUAGCUCUCUCGAAUAAGACUGUUUUCUGGAGUUGUACUAAACAGAGUUUUAUUCCUAUUUCCUCUAUGCAUUAUUAUUGUUAUCAUCAUUAUUGCUAUCAUUAUUACUACUACUACUACUACUACUACUACUACUACUACUACUACUACUACUACUACUACUGCUGCUGCUGCUGCUGCUGCUGCUGCUAUUACCACUCCUAUUAUCAUUAUCAUUAUUAUUAUUAUUAUCAUUAUUAUUAUUAUUAUUAUUAUUAUUAUUAUCAUUAUUAUUAUUAUCAUUACUACUAUAUUAUUAUUAUUAUUAUUAUUAUUAUUAUUAUUAUUAUUAUUAUUAUUAUUAUUAUUAUUAUUAUUAUUAUUAUUAUUAUAUUAUUAUUAUUAUUAUUAUUAUUAUUAUUAUUAUUAUUAUUAUUAUUAUUAUCAUUAUUAUUAUUAUUAUUAUUAUUAUUAUUAUUAUUAUUAUUAUUAUUAUCAUUAUUAUUAUUAGUAUUACACACUUAACAUCGGGCUACAAGUUGCCUUAGAUGCCAAGAACCCUCCUAUCGGGUUACAGCAAGUAACCUAUAGCGUUAACUCGAAAUAUAAACGAUAGGCUUUUAAUUCCUUAACUGCAAUCGAAAUGAACCCGUCCCGAGUAGUACGCCCCACCUACAGAAUCACUAAAUAUAUUAAAACAAUGAAAUUCAGUAUUACAGCAUUAGUAACAUAGUCUUCGUUAAGUCUCUCAGCAAUCACAUUCCUAAGCAAUACGUCAAUGCCCAACAGAGUGGAAUCGAUGCAUCCUUCCUCUGAUAUCUAAUGAAUACUCAACGUUUCACAACCAAACUAAUUGCUGUUUCCUUUAUCAUUGUUUUAUCAACUUCUUCAUCACUACGACACAUCAAGCACAUUUAUUUGGUUUCUUCCUCAUUGCGUUUCCCUCAUCAGAGAUGAAUAUUUCACAACCUUACUUUUCUCAGUCAUUAACGUUUGACAUUCACCAUUCCCAUAAAGGUAAUAUCACAUUAUCUAUCUUCAUUCUUGUUGGAUUUUGGUAAAUUCUUCAUUCUUUCUCUUUUACUAUUCUAUCUGUUUGCGUUUGUCACAACCUGAUUUGAAUUUAGGGUUUAAUGAGGCAAAUAUCUUCGUUCGUUAUUGGAUCCAAGGGAACUUGGAAUCGAUAUAAAUAUCUUGAUUAAUGCUAUAGUUCACUUGGAAAAAGGGUAAACCUCCUAAGAUCACAUAAUUUUCUUUCUUGGUUAAAGAAUGGAGUUGCAGGCUUCUUAUCAAAAACAAUUUUGAUAGAAUUUUCCUUUCUUUUUUUUUUUAUGGUUGUCAAAAUUUGUUUAAGGGUCGACUUGGACGAAGUAUUACGGCACCAUUGACGGUUUUCCGUGGCUGGAAGGUAUCCCAACGCCGGAAACUGAUGAAAAUUCUUUAAUCAGACUGGAUUCCACAAAACAUAAAAUAACCUAUGACCAACAAUGAUGUUAAACUGUGUGAGGUAUAAAUUCUUCAACCCAAAAAAUUAAUGGCUUUCCUCGUGAGGUUUUCAAUAGAUAUUCCUUCUUCAGCAUUUCUUUUAGACUCAUUUGACCAAACACAAGUUGAAAUGCAGUGGUAUUGAACCUGAGACAACUGUUUGCGGGUUGAACUUCUUAUCUUCUCAACCAUGUUUUUACGUAGGGAAUUGAUUGACGACAUUCCAAUUUUAGAUGAGGGCUGUCCGUGUUCGAAUACAAGAUUCGCAACACUUUCAAGGUAAAAAAAAAAAAACGCGGGUCUGAAAUAGAAGCAUAUUACGUCAUCCUUAUGAGUGAACUGAGUAAACAUUGUGGAUGACAGUGAUCAUGCUAGAAAUAGCAGUUAAACCUCCCUUAAAUCACAUUCCAGCAACUUAAGAAAAAGAAUAACAUAUUGGAUAAUGUAGUCCAAGAUUCACAAUGACUAAAACAGCGAUGAAAAGGUCAUGGACAGAAUUACAACAACAACAGCUCACAGUGCUCCGAGCCAGGUCACUCUAUCUGUUAGAAAUGACAGCAAAAUAACCUUCAAAUCAAACUAUACCAUCUUCUAAAAAGAAACGCAUAGGAUGUGAUUCAGUGGAUGGGCACGGCUGGAUUAUAGAUUAAUUCAGUGACGAUUGAUAUGUUUAAACAACAGCACUAACAACCCUGAAUAACUUUAUGGAACAGAACUAAACACGAACCGUCAGAUAUUGAUAAUGAUCAAUAUUUAAUGAAACAGUCGAUUUAUCAAUUUCAGUAUCACGUGGACAAAAUAAAUAUUUGUUACAGCUGUUGGUGGUGGUGGUGGUGGUGGUAGUGGGGGUGGCGGUGGUGGUGGUCGUCGUCGCAGUAGUGAUGAUGAGGUUUGGUGAUGAUGUUGAUGGCAGUGUAGGUUAUGGUGACGGUGCUGGUAGCAGUGGUGGUGUUUUUUGCGGUAGUGAUAGUGGUGGUGGCGGUGGUGGUGCCUGCGGUAGUAGAGGUGGCAGUGGUGGUGGUGGUGGGGUAGUGGGGAUUGUGGUGGCGGUGGUGGUGGUUGCAUUCUAUGGUUGUCUUCAACCUUACAUAAAUUCCGCUUCUGGCAAGGAAUUUCGUAAAUCCUUGAAUCGUUUCCAUCGCCGUCUCUUAAUUCCUUAAAUACCAAAUCUUGCACACAUAAACAUCCAGGUUUAGCUAAUAUAUUUCAAGACCGGAGGCAGUCUAUUGACGAAGAAAUCUUCCAUGUGAUUGUCGAAAGAAUACUUCGAACUCCCUUCGUCCCGUGUACUUUGCCUCACAUGCCAUUCUCAGAAAUGUUUUACAGCCUCGCUUUCCCUUCAUUCAAUUGAAAGCGCGUAACUUAACGGUUAGGAUAUUCAGCUUACGAUCAUAAAGUCACAGUUCUCUUCUCAGUGGGGCGUUGUGCCUUUGAGUAAGAUGUUUGCUUUCCUUUUGCCUCACUCCACUCAGCUAUCAAAAAUGAGUUGUACUUGUAAUUCAAGAGGGCCAGCCUUCUCACAUUUUGAGUCACACUAAAUACUACCGAGAAUUACGUUAAGGGUGCGUUCUUUUGUGAAGGGCUAAGCCAGUUGUACGUUAAUAUCACGCGUAAGCUGUUCCGUUGAUCGGGUUGACAGGGACAGCUAUUGUCGAAACAGACGGAAUGUCAGUUCUUUCCUGCCGUUAAAAAACACGAGGUUUCGAAGUCAGUGACAUGGUGUGGAACCUAUGGUGAAUGUAUUUUUCUAUUGCUCCAGAUUGAUCAGUGCCGUCUGUGGGAAUAUGGUAGACGGAAAAUAUGUACACCCAUCUUGUACACACACACACGCAGGCACAUACACACACAUCUUUGUAUGUAUAUAUGUUUGUAUGUAAAUACGUAUAUAUGUAUUAUUGAUAUACUCAGGCAUUGUUUCCAACCACAUGGUUCUGGGUUCAGUCCUACUGUGUGGCACCUUGAGCAAGUGUUUUGUACUUUAACGUCCGGCUGACAGAAGCUGAAGCCAUCGUGUGUGUGUGUGCACGUGUGUGCUUGUGUAUGUCUUUGUGCCCGUGUUUGUUUCCUACCAUCACCUGACAACCGGUGUUGGUGUGUUUACGUCCCAAUAACUUAGCGGUUCAACAAAAGGAAUUUGUAGAAUAAGUACCGGGUAUUGUAAAAAAAAUUAUCGGGGUCGGUCCAUUCGAUUACACAUUCUUGAAGGCGGUGCCACAGCAUGACCGCAGUCCAAUCACCAAAACAAGCAACAACAAAAAAUAUGUUUGGAUGAAAUUCUUAGGAAUCUAUACAGAGUUCUGAAGAGUUGGGACGAAAUGGUCCUACGGCAAACAACAAAAUAUUCGGGUUGCUUAUUUCACGAGGACAUCCUUCAAACUCACGGAAGCUAGAUAAUCAUGGAUGAUUCGUUACGAAUAGACUGAGAAAGAAACCAUACAGUUUCACUGUUAAUUCAUUUAUAUUUGAAUUCUAUAUUAAACUACACAGUAUACGUACAUACAUGCAUACAUACAGACAGACAUACAUAUUGGUGGAAGUAAGAGAGAAAGAGAGAGUGAGUAAAAUAAUAGGGGAGUGAGAGGUAAAUACAGGAAAUGGAAGGGAGCUUGAGAAAGGUGGGACAUGUGAAGAAGGAAAUAAGAAAUUGACGGAAGUUGAUAGAAAACAAUGGCAAAGAAACGAAAUGAAGCAGAAUAAAUAUAAACCGGAAUGGCAUAUAUUGUUGAACAAGCGUGUCUUUGGUUCCAUUAUCAACGAUGUUAACUACCCUGUUAACACCAUAUUUGGAAUAAACGCCAACCAAUCAAAGACAAAAAACACCAUGAUUCUUAAAAAAUGGGAAGUAGAAGGGGGAAAUCAGUAAGAAUAAUAAAAUAUAUAAAGCAGUAAAAAUAAAAAAGAACGAAUUAAUGUGGAAAGUGGAAAACAAAGAAUGUAAUUAAGGAUUUGUAACAGGUUGGAAAAGUAAACGAAUGAGAAUUUUAUAGCGUUCAAACAGAAGCAGCUUUUCAUUUGAUGGACGGGACGGCCAUUGCGGUUGCUGCUGCUGAGGUUGUGGUGGAAGAUGAGGCUACAUCUGUGGCUUGUUGGGUGCGGUGGGUAUACAUGUAUGUAAGUGUAUGUAUGUAUGUAUGUAUGUAUGUAUGUAUGUAUGUAUAUGCACUAUGUAUGUAUGUACGUAUGAAUGUAUGCAUGUACAUCUAUGUAUGUACGGAUAUGUGUGCAUGUAUGUAGGUAUGUAUUUUGUAGGCGGCGAACUGGCAGAAUUGUUAGCACGCCGGGCGAAAAGCGUAGCCGUAUUUCAUCUGCCGUUACGUUCUGAGUUCAAAUUCCGGCGAGGUCGAGUUUACCUUUCAUCCUUUCGGGGUCGAUUAAAUAAGUACCACUUACGUACUGGGGUCGAUGUAAUCGACUUAAUCCAUUUGUCUGUCGUUGUUUGUCCUCUCUGUGUUCAGCCCCUUUGGGAAGUAAAGAAAUAGGUAUUUCGUCUGGCGCUACGUUCUGAGUUCAAAUUCCGCCGAGGUUGACUUUGCCUUUCAUCCUUCGGGGUCGAUUGAAUAAGUACCACUUACGUACUGGGGUCGAUGUAAUCGACUUAAUCCAUUUGUCUGUCGUUGUUUGUCCUCUCUGUGUUCAGCCCCUUUGGGAAGUAAAGAAAUGGGUAUGUAUGUAUGUAUAAAACUAUGCAUGCAUUAUUGACACAAACUCGCGAAUUCACUUUAAGGGUCUUGGAAACCACAUACAUAAAUUAUAUAUGUGUGUGUCUGUACGGAUGUAUAUAUAUGUACGUAUAUACAUGUGCGUAUGCGUGUGCACGCAUGCCUUUUUGUGUGUGUGUUUGUGUGUGUAUGUGUGUGUGUGUGUGUAUGUAUGUGUGUGUGUGUGUGUGUGUGUGUGUAAAAUGUAUGAUAAGCACAAGAUGUGAUUUGUACUAUUGGUUUCCUCCGCCAUUUUCACCGUUGUGGCUACUUCAUUCUUUGCUCGUUGUACAUGGAUGUGCAUCUAGAAUAGCUUUUCAGGAAGCCCGUCAUUACACCAGUAAGUAACGACAAUGAUAUUCCAUAAAGAUUUCCCUCACUAUAUAGUGCAUACUAUCAGCUACACGUAGAGUACCUUCUUGUGGUAUCUUAAGUAUAUCAGAAAGAACAGCCAAUGUAGACCCUGCUAAGGUUUUAUAUUACGUAGCAAGGAACACCGCCGUGAAGGCGUUUUUGUGCUUCCAUGUCGACAAUUCUGUGUGUUUUAUACAUCGUGUAUAUUACGUAACUUGUUGCAUGAAAUUAUGAAAUGUCGGUGUCAAUUUACGUUCCCUGUUUUGGGAUGCUAAAUGCAUGUUAAACUGGCAGCCCUCAGGGAUAUUUGAACUUAAGACCCCUAAGUGAUGUUAUUGGACAUUCCUUUAACAUAUGUUGUUGAGAGUUGGUACCUAAUGGGACUGAAAAUGGUAGUCUUUUGAUCUUGAUAAUUACUUAACAGAUCACCGAUUCCGAAUUAUCGAAGAGCAGAUAAUGGUAAUUCCAGGGUCACUAAAAAUUUGUUGGCGUCUCUACAACAACGACCGGAAAACACAAGAUCAACAUCAGCAGCUGUUGUAACAGCUAGGACGACAACAACAACAACAGGAAUUACUACUGUUGUUGAUGCCUUUGCUAUUAAUGAUGCUCCUGUGCCGCAGCUCUUGCUCUAGACGCUAACUCAUAUAUUUGAAGCGUAGAAGUAAAGAUAUUCAUUUCCUUCCUACAACAGUUUAGAAAAACUACAUUAAUUUAAUAAUAAUAAUAAUAAUAAUAAUAAUAAUAAUAAUAAUAAAAAUAAUAAUAAUGAAAAUAAUAAUAAUAAUGAUAAUAAUGAUAAUGAUAAUAAUAAUAAUAAUAAUAAUAAUAAUAAUAAUAAUAAUAAUAAUAAUAAUAAUAAUGAUAAAAAUAAUAAUAAUAAUAAUAAUAAUAAUGAUAAUAAUAAUAAUAAUAUUAAUAAUGAUAAUAAUAAUAAUGAUAAUAAUAAUAAUAAUGAUACUGAUAAUAAUAAUAAUAAUGAUAAUAAUAAUAAUAAUAAUAAUAAUAAUAAUAAUAAUAAUGAUAAAAAUAAUAAUAAUAAUAAUAAUAAUGACAAUAAUAAUAAAAAUAAUGAUAAUAAUGACAAUAAUAAUAGUAAUAAUAAUAAUGAUAAUAAUUAUAAUGAUAAUAAUAAUAAUGAUGAUAAUAAUAAUAAUGAUAAUAAUAAUGAUAAUAAUUAUGAUGAUGAUGAUGAUGAUGAUAAUAAUAAUAAUGAUGAUGAUGAUUAUAAUAAUAAUAAUAAUGAUAAUAUUAAUGAUAAGAAUAAUAAUGAUAAUAAUAAUGAUAAUAAUAAUAAUAAUGAUAAUAAUAAUGAUAAUAAUAAUAAUAAUGAUAAUAAUGCUAAUAAUGUUAAUAACAAUAAUAAUAAUAAUUAUUAUUAUUAUUAUUAUUAUAAAAAUGAUGAUGAUGAUGAUGAUGAUGAUAGUGCGUUUGUCACAAAAUCAUAUCAUUACAAUGUAGAUGAUGAUGAUGAUGACGGUUUCAAAUUUUAGCAAAAGGCCAGCAAUUUCACGGCAGUAGGUUAAGUCGUUUACAACGAAACCAAUAAUCGGUUGUAUGUACUUUUUUGACCCUGGGAAGACGAAAGCCAAAGUCAACCUUGCUGGAUUUUGAAUCUAGAGCAUUAUACCUCAAGAAAUGCCGCUAAGCCCUUUGUCUUGUCUGACGUGCUAACGAUUUUGCCAAAUAACAACAACAACAACAACAACAACAAUAAUAAUAAUAAUAAUAAUAAUAAUAAUAAUAAUAACAAUAACAAUAAUAAUGAUAACAACAACAACAGCAAUAAUAAUAAUUAUAAAUAUGAUUAUUAUUAUUAUUAUCAUUAUCAUUAUUAUUAUUAUUACUAUUUUAACAACAGCAAAAACAACAACGUCACAGGAACAACAGCACAUCUAAUAACAACACUAACAACAUUAAAAAACAAGAUCAACAAUAGAUAAGUAAAAGUCUGUAUAUAGAACCAUGAAGAAAAAUAUUCUUUGUUUUUUUGGAGGUCGGUUUAAUGUUCCAACAUGGCAACCUGGUAAAAAGAUUCUAAUAAAUUUAGUGCAAUUAAUUAAUCGUAUAGAAUUUUAUAGCGAUUGCCUUAUUCGUUUCCAAUCUUUGUGUAUGUGUUGGCUGUUUUGUUUCGGAGUCGGUUUCGAAAUACAAUGAAGAGAGAGAGCGAAAAACUUUUUUACUUUAAACAAGCAAACUUAUGAACAACAAACAGCGAAAUCGCAACAUGACAAAGAGUCGACUUCAAACACCGAUUUUGGUUUAAAAGCGGUGCCGGCGGCUCUCUCAGAUAUAAACACACACACACACACACAUGCACAUACACACACACACACACACACACACACACACACACACACACACACACACACACACACACGCAUAUGCUUUUGCUUAUAUACAAGUAUAUAGAUAUGGUUUUAAUAUACGUUGUAUAUAUAUAAAAACAAAUUUGUUAUUUAUUUGCAAGUUAUAAACAUAGUCAUAUAUAUAUAUACAGAGGGAGGGAGAGAGAGACUUUAUAAUCAUAAACCAGUUCACCUAAAUUCAUACGAUACGAAAUAUGUGUACAUAUGUGUGACUGUGCAGAGUCUAUGUGUGUGUGUGCGUGUGUGCGUGAAUGCAUGUGUUUGUGCGUGUAUGUGUAUGUGUAUGUGUCUGUAAGAGAGAGAGCAUGUAUGUGUGUGUAUGUUGAACCGUUUUGGCUUCUUGCCAUAAUGUAACAAUUACGCUUUUGGCAUGAUACUAGCAAUUACGAAUCAAAAUGGCCGUUGUGACUAUUAAUUCACUAUCGAUCUCUUUAGCCAACAUUUCACUAUCUCGACAUACAUAGUGAUGUUUCUAUUGCCCUAGGGAGUCAUGUCCCCUACUUGUCGUCUUCGUUAAAAUUAUAUCAGUCAUGGAGAUAACAUUGUCUUUUCUUCGCCACAUAACUAUUAUUAAUUAGAUCCUUAAUGUUUACUAUUUUAAGCAUAGCAGGAGUUACUUAACUAUGGUUUUUCCAUACUGAUGUCUUCUCUAAAUUAUAACUUAAAUUAUGUAUAUUUUCUUAAAUAUACUGAAUGAAUGCUUUUCAUAUCAGUAGAAUCUACAUAAGAAAUAGCCAAUGAAAUAAACAACAACCAGCAGGCUGUCCCAACAGAAGAACAUAACUCGCAUAACCACACUACGCACAAUGCAAACACUAAUACAACAGAAGACAUCACCACACCUCAUAACAAAACAAGCUGACGCAAUAAAAUACGGGGAAGUGUUAGCAUCCCUCUAACAACAAAAUGGAACGCACAAUGCUGCACACCCCCAAUCAACAAGUAGGUGUAGCAGGUGAUGCAGUAGAAAUUUCCCUGAACCUAUCAAAUGUUGAAUAAUAAUAAUAAUAGGAGCUGAUUGCUAUGUAGUUCAGUUACCAAGAAACACCCCAAAAUGGCAGAAAUUCAAAAAAUAGUGCUCAUGGGAAUUGUUCAUAUCCUACGUAAAAUAUUGUCUAUGUAAUCUCAGAUUUUAAAACAAACUUAUAAUUUUCCUGUUUUCUUAAACAUUCUCUAGAACAAUACUAUGUACGAAACUAAAUAUAUGGCACCCAAUGCAUAACACCAACAUGAACUUCUAACUUGUUGUCUCUUGAGGUCUCUGGGUGAGACUUGGAACCAACUUGUUCAAAUGCAAAGCAAAAGUCAAACAAAUAAUAAUAAUAAUAAUAGUAGUAGUAGUAGUAGUAGUAGUAGUAGUAGUAGUUAUAAGAAGAAGAAGAAAAAGAAGAAGAGUCAUAAUAUUAAUAAUAAUAAUAAUUAUAAUAAUAAUGAUAAUAAUAAUGAUAAUGAUAAUGAUAAUGAUAAUAAUAAUAAUAAUAAUAAUAAUAAUAAUAAUAAUAAUAAUAAUAAUAAUAAUAAUAAUAAUAUUUCAUAAACCUUCCUGCAACCAAGGAAAUAGUGAAACAACGAAUAAAACUUAAAGCCCAACUACUCAGAUGGUAUGACAAAGGAAUCAAAUCUUAUCGACAAAACAAUGUAUUCAAAACGGGUACAAAGAAAUUUUAUAGGGAAAUUGGCAAAAACAUGACCAAGUGGAAUACACGUCUCCUCCUACACCAGUUCAAGAAUACUCACAUCAAACGAGGCAUCUUCAAGGUGACUCCCUCUCCCCAUUUCUCUUUUGCAUGGCAUUGAUCCCACUCUGAAGCGAACUGAGUAAAACUAGGUAUGGGUUCAAAGUGUAUAAUACGAUAGUAAACCGUCUGUUUUAUAUAGACCAUCUCAAGGUUGUUUGUUAGAAAUGACGAAGCGCUAGAAGGGUUGCUAACAACUUUUAAAGAAUUCAGCAAUGAUAUCGGGAUGGAGUUUGGCCUUGAGAAGUGUGCUAAAUCAACUUUUGUAAGAGGCAAGCCCAAGCAAACAGCUUCCCUUAUAUUAGAUACUGACACAACCAUCAAGUAGCUUGACCCACAAGAAAGCUAUAAAUACCUGGGGAUAAACGAAGGAGAUGGUAUACAACAUGCUACUAUGGAGGAAAAAAUAAGAAAAGAAUAUUACAGGAGAAUAAGAUUCAUACUAAAAACUGAGCUCAACAGAAACAGAACGUGGGUCUAAAAACAGAAACAGAUUGUGGGGUCUGAAAAUAGAAACGGUAUGCGGAGUCUAAAAUCAAAAGACUAAACAGAAAGAAGACCUAGAGAUAGAGGUUACUCGAUUUUGAGGUGUAAAAGCAGAAACAAUUCCUAUCACAGUAGGCACAUUAGGUAUGAUAAAAAAAUAUUCAGACAAAUACAUAACAAAAACACCAGGACUAACAAGUAUAUAUAACAUAGUGAAAAUAGUACUACUAGGCACCGCACACGUCCUACGUAAAACAGUUUCAGUACAGUAAAAAUAAGAGCAUCACAACAAACCACACCACUUACCCAAAUCACACGGAGAUGCGCCCGGUAGUGCAGUGAAAGUACGUGGUAAAUAAUAAGACUAUUAAAUAAUAAUAACAAUAAUAAUAAUGAACACCAAACUGGCAGCGCUAGACCAAGUUUGGCCAGAAAUUGGAGAGUCAAUCUUUGGAAUGCGCAAGUGUUCCUCCUGUGCCACGUCUGUAAUAGAGUGGAGGAAACCGUUGUCUAUAUUGCGAACGAAUGCCCUAGAUUUACCGAGAACCAUUACAGGUUUUGGAAUCACGAUGAGGUAGGGAAAGUCCUACACUGGAAACUAUCGAGAAGUGGGGCCUAGAGAGAGACAAGGCGUGGUACGAACACAAAACACAGAGAGUGGCGGUAUAGGAAAUCUGCAAAAUUCUAUGGGAUUUCCCAAUACAACAUAUCAGGUGCUACAGUAUAACAAACCGGAUCUAGUUGUGGUCGACAAGAUGCACCACAUGUGUUAUAUAGAAGAUGUUGCUGACUUUCAAUAAGAUGCGCCAUCCAGAGGCAGAUGCAGAACGUCUUUGCCUACCCAGAGCUCAAAGAGGUCACGGUUUGAUCUAGUUAGAAAUCUCCUACAAAAUCAUCACAGUUGUCUGGCAAAAUAUCUUGAAACAUCUAACGACUUGAUGCUAAAGCUCAGUGAAAACCAUGAAAGACGUAACAAGCUUCAUUGUUAUGAAGGAGAGCAAAAAAUUUUCGAGCGAGUUUAUGUAUAUUACCCAGGUUGAACAGCAUGAUGGAAGUGCAGCUACUGUAGUUGCAAAGAAGGUGAAAUCAAUAGCAAAGCAAAAUGCGUUUGAACAAGUGGUUGAUAGAUGGGAACAAAAACCUCUGCAUGGCAAAUAUAUAGCCCGCAGCAAACAAACUGGUGUAGACCAGAAUCACACCCAUCAGGGUCUACAGAUCUCAGAGCUAAAGUCAGAGAAUGAAGGCUUUAUCUUGGCUUCUCAAGAUCAGAGCUUAUUGUCCCGUAACUAUCAAGCCAAUGUGAUGACAAAUGGUUUAGACUCAAAGUGUCGAUACUGCAACGAGGGAUUGGAACAGUUAACCACCUGAUGCUUGGGUGUAAAGUUUUAGCACUUGUAGAGUACAAAUAAAGACACGACGGAGUUGGGCAAUAUCUACAUGUGUCGGUAUCAUAAAAUCAAAACUGCUGACAAAUAGCACAAGCACCACUCUGAUGCUGUAACUAAGGGAGAAAAUGUAACAAUUCUUUAGGACUUUCCAGUAUGCACAGACCGGACCAUCAAAGCAAAGAAACUAGAUAUUGUUGUCAAGGACCAAAACAAAAAAUUCUAUUUAUUGAUCGACAUGAGCAUACCCUGCGACCAUAAUAUCUCGGCAAAAGAAUUUGAUAAGCCCAGAAAAUAUAAAAGACUUGUCAAUCCAAAUAGAAAAGAUGAGGCAUCUCAAGAGGGUUACAAUACCAGUGAUUGCAGAAGCACUUGGAAUGAUCAGAAAAGGAACUGAAAAUGAUUUAAGAAUGAUCCCUGGCUUACCAUCCAAGCAGGAAGUGCAGAAGAUUGUCUUAACUGGUACGUCACAUAUAUUGAGAAGAGCAUUGUCACUGUGAAUUUUCUUUCCUUUUUUCCCCUUUAUUUUCUUUGUUUACUUUUUAUUUUUAUUUUUUCCUUUUCCUCUCUGUCUUUCUUCCUCUUUUUCUAUAUCACAAGACUUUGUAAAUGAACAAUCUGGUGUGUUUAUUUUUAAUAAAUGCAUACAGUAUGUUUCUCUGCCCUAGGCGUCAGAAAACAUUCGGCAAGAAAUGGAAACAAUUGAAAGAUGCUAAUGAAAAUAAUGAUAAAAAUAAUAAUAAUAAUAAUAAUAAUAAUAAUAAUAAUAAUAAUAAUAAUAAUAAUAAUAAUAGUAAUUAUAAUAAUAAUAAUAAUAAUAAUAAUAAUAAUAAUAAUAAUGAUAAUAAUAAUAAUAAUAAUAAUAAUAAUAAUAAUAAUAAUAAUAAUUGGCUCCUUGAGAACAAAAGGAGUAUAAAAAGAAAUUGGAAUAGAAUGACCAGUAAGAUUGUUACGAAAGGUUUGCCUCCUUCGAACGGCUAAAAUAACCAGGAAAGUAUUAGAUAGCUGAAAAGAACAGACAGCAUGAUACCAUGGGCUGCAUACACAUGCAACACUCCAGAUGCUCCAACAAAAUCUGAGUUAGAAAAAAAAAAAUAAUAAUAAUAAUAAUAAUAAUAAUAGUACCAGGCAGUGGCUCUCAUGGCUUCUGAUCUUAACUGAUUGGAAGUGUUAUCAUGUACAUUGUUUUGUCUUGUUAUAAAAGAAGGGCUACAGCAAAUAUUCUGCUCAAUACCACAGAUUUGCUUGUCAGUUGUUUGACCUUAACCAGUUGAGCAUGUCCCUUAUUGGCUGACGAUAUGUGCAUCUCGGAUCACGAGUAGAAGUAGUGGGGAGCAUCAUAGCCAUGUGUUGAGAGGGAUUCUUUGGGAUUUGAAUAAUUCACCUCUGGAAACAUGGGUAGUUCUUUCAACAUCCUUAAACAACCCUUAUUCAGGGACCUUUUGAGCAGGAUGGGAUACUCAACCUGAAGAAAAUUCUAACUGGGCCCCACCUGCAAGGUCAUGCGCUGUUUAUCUUGAUAUGAGAUCACCAUGUCGCGCACAUAUGGUUGUGAUGCACGUGCCUCGUACACCCUUAUCAGACGGGUAGUCAUGAUGGGUAUUUUGGGCUUCGUAUAUUUCACCCCAGUGUCACUUUGAUGGCAUGAACUGCUCUGUCACUCAAUAAUAAUAAUAAUAAUAAUAAUAAUAAUAAUAAUGAUGAUGAUGAUGAUGAUGAUGAUGAUGAUGAUGAUGAUGAUGAUGAUGAUGAUGAUGAUGAUGAUGAUGAUGAUGAUGAUGAUGAUGAUGAUGAUGAUAAUAAUAAUAAUAAUAAUAAUAAUAAUAAUAAUAAUAAUAAAAACAAUAAUAAAUGCCCUGAUGCAGUACCAGGCAGUGGCUCUCAUGGUUUCUGAUCUUAACUGAUUGAAAGAGUUAUCAUGUAUAUUGUUUUUCUUGGUAUAAAAGACGGGCUACAGCAAAUAUUCUGCUUAAUAUCACAGAUUUGCUUGUCAGUUGUUUGACCUUAACCAGUUGAGCAUGUCCCUUAGUGGCUGACGAUAUGUGCAUCUCUGAUCACGAGCAGAAUUAGUGAAGGAGUAUCAUAGCUAAGUGUUAAAAAGAAUUCUUUGGCGCUUGGAUAAUUCAUCUAUGGAAACACGGGUGUUUUGUUCAACAUCCUUGAACAACCCUUAUUCAGGGACCUUUUGAGUGGGAUGAUUUGCUCCAUCUGAAGAAACCUGUAACUGGGCUCCACCUUACCUUGAUAUGAGAUCACUAUGUCGCGAACAUAUGGUUGUGAUGCAUGUGCCUGGUGUACCCUUAUCAAUCGAGUAGCCAUGAUGGGUAUACUGGGCUUCGUAUAUCUUACCCCAGUGUCACUUUGAUGGCAUGCACUGCUCUCUCACCCCAAAAUAUAAUAUAUCAUGAUUUUCCAAUGAAAUAUACUGUUCUUAAUCACGUGCCAAUCCUCCCGGACUAUAGAUGUCAGAGAGACCGAAAUCACAUGUAUCGAAUUUAUAAUACAUUUUAUCAGUAAGCUACAUGCUAAACACAUUUACACAGUUUACAAAAUCAUAAAUUAAACUAAACAAUUGCGCAAUAUGCAAAGUUUUGUGAUACACGCUAUAUACAAAUUUCUUUACCAUUCCGGUGUCUGUUGCAGAUGAUGAGAUAACAACUCCGAAAUGCAUGCAUUCAACAAUCCAGCUAAGGAGUGCUGUGAGUUUGGUGUGUUUACACAUAUCUGUCGGCAGUGAUAAAUGUUCUUCAUGAUGAAGUACAAUGAAUGGCUUUCUUACCGGUUUGCAAAUGCCUCGAGUAUAUUUGAACUGGCAACAGUUUGUAUUUGUACAUGACACUGAUUAUCGUUCUCAUCCCGUGCUAAACUUAAUGUAAACAACAUCAAAGGUUAUAGCGUAGCCAAGUGCCCUAUGUACUAAAUUUUAUGAUGUAAAAUGCUACAAUAAUGCUCAUAAUAUGUAUAUUGUACAUUCCAAGUCAGCGAACUGGCAGAAGCGUUAGCACGCUGAGCGAAAUGCUUAGAAGUAUUUCGUCUACCGUUACGUUCUGAGUUCAAAUUCCGCCGAGGUCGAUUUUUGCUUUUCAUCCUUUCGGGGUCGAUAAAUUAAGUACCAGUUACGCACUGGGGUCGAUGUAAUCGACUUAAUCUGUUUGUCUGUCCAUGUUUGUCCCCUCUAUGUUUAGCCCCUUGCGGGCAAUAAAGAAACAAGAAACGUUAGCAUGUCGGGCGAUAUGAUUAGCGUCUGUCUUUAUGUUCUGAGUUCAAAUUUCGCCGAGGCCGACUUUGCCUGUCAUCCUUUUUUUGGGGGCCGUUAAAUUAAGAACCAGUUGCAUACUGGAGUCGAUCUAAUCGACUGGUCCUUUUCCCAAAACUUUCGGGCCAUUUUUUAAUCCUAGUACAUAUUCUAACCGCUAAGUCACAAGGUCGUAGACAUACAAACACUGGUUUUUAAAUUGUGGUAUGGGAUAGAUGCAGACACUAAGACACACACACGCACACACACACACACAUAUCAAUAUUUGUCUCAUGUUCUGUAGCAAUGAAAACAAUUUUACGUUAACCUGAUGGGUUAAUCUAUACUAUAGUAGAGCACAAAAGUAUUAUUUUUAUACAAGAACGUUGUCAUUAGUAACUCUGAUGCUUCGGCCAGCUAAACCAUUAUCGCACAGCUUCUUUCAGUUUCUGCGUACUAAAUCCACUCACAAGUCUUUUGUCGGCUCGUGGCUACAGCAGAAGACAUUUGAAUCCGGAAAAUUGUGUUUAGGAAGCUUCGUACCAUAUACUGAAAGGCGUCUUACUUAAGAGGGCCCGAACCAUCAACCUUCCAGUGAGUAGCGACACACAAAAAAGGCAGACAGACAGAUAGAUAGAUGAACAUGUGUACAUUUAUUUAUGUGCACAUAUAUAUAUAUAUAUAAUGAUAAAUCUCAGAGCGAGUUAUAAACGGUAGCAGCAACACAUCGUGACGUAUAUUUGCCAUUUGAAUAUGGCUAACCCCUAAGGGUGGAUGCUACUGUAGUUUGUAUCCCCAGGAGGACACCUCCUCCAACUGGCUAUAGACACACUUUCUGUGCCCUAUCAGUAUUUGCGAAGGGAAGCCAACCUUCCCGUCUUCAACUUAUGAUACAUACGGACUCGAGUUUCAGAGUAUUGACCCGUCAUUGGCGUGUGACAAUCAUAGUUGUCGAUGAGAAGUCGGUUCCCUUUACAAAUACAUAUACUUUUUCCAGUAUCGAUUGACACUGAUAUUGAAAAAGUGAAAUCAAACAAUGAUAAAUCUCAGAGCGAGUUAUAAACAGUAACAGAAACACACCGUGACGUAUAUUUGCCAUUUGAAUAUGGCUAACCCCUAAGGGUGGAUGCUACUGUAGUUUGUAGCCUCAAGAGGACACCUCCUCCAGCUGGCUAUAGACACACUUUCUGUGCUCUGAGAUUUUUCAUUGUUUGAUUUCACUUUUUCAAUAUCAGUGUAUAUAUAUAUAUACACAUAUACGUAUUUUUGUAUAUAUGUACAUAUGAACAUCUACAUUACUAUUCACUUAUAUAUAUAUAUAUAUAUAUAUAUAUAUUAAUUGAAAAUUCUAUUUUAAAGGUUAGCAGGCCGGACGAAAUGCUUGGUGAUAUUUCAUUUUCUUAACGUUCUGAGUUGAAAUUCCGCCGAGGUCGUCUUUGCUUUUCAUCCUUUUGGGGUCGAUAAAUUACGUAUCAGUCAAGGUACUGGGGCCUUCCUUGUUAAAAUCCUAUUUAUUUGUGCAACAGAUAAUAGCACUGCAUUUAAACUAAUGAAAUGGUUGCAUUGUACAAUUAUAUGGUGCUGCUUGAAACGGUCGUACUGCAUCACUUCUUGAUAUCUUUUUGCUUAUUUUGAUUAUAUUCAUUUAUACACACACACACACAUAUACAUAGUAUACAUAUAUAUAUAUUAUGUAUAUAAUAUACAUACGUAUAUAUAUUAUAUAUGUAUAUAUUUACAAGUGUAUGUAUACGCACGCACUUACACGCUGGUAAGCAGGAGAAAAUGCUUAGCACCAUUUCAUACGUUUUUACGUUUUGAGUUCAAAGUUCGUGGAGGUCGAAUUUGCCUUUCAUCCCUCAGGGAUCGAUGGAAUAUGCAAUCGACUUAUCCCCACCCCGGACUUGCUGUUCUUUACUAUGUAUGUAUGUAUGUAUGUAUGUAUGUAUGUAUGUAUGUAUGUAUGUAUGCAUGUAUGUAUGUAUGCAUGCAUGCAUCUUUGUAGAAAUACAAACACGCUUAAAGAUGGAUACGUGUAUGUAUGCAUUAUAUAUAUAUAUACGUGCAUGCGUGUGUGUGUGCGUGUAUGUGUGUAUGUGUGCAUGUGUGUGUGUGUGUGUGUGUGUGUGUGCUGACACAGUCAUAUGUACUUUGUUUCAUCAGUCCAACUAUAGUAAUGUCUAUAUUAAUUCUAUAUUAGGAAUCUCAGCAAAACAUUGGACGUUCGAUCGAUAAUUCAUGUACAUUAGUCUAUAUUAGACUUCGUAAGUCUGUCAGACUGUUUACAGCGAACAUGUUUGUACGACGGGUACAAGGGACGUUACUCUGUCCUGACUACAUUAAUGUGAGCAACACAUUUGCAGAUGUGUAUGUGUAUAUACGUUCAUAUAUACACACACCUCCAUACAUAUUGUAUAUGUAUAUGUAUGGAGGUGUAUAUGUAUAUAUAUAUAUAUAUAUAUAUAUAUAUAUAUAUAUAUAUAUACUUCUUUCAGUUUCCGUCUACCAAAUCGAUUCACAAGGCUUUGAUCGGUCCUGUGUUAUAAUUGACGACACUUGCCCAAGUUGUCACGGUGGGACUAAACCCUGAACCAAGUGAUUGGUAAGCAAGGUACCUACUACACAGCCACUCCCGCACCUAUAUAUAUACACACACACUUAUAAAUUUAUACACACACACAUAUAUAUAUAUAUAUAACUUGUUCUAUUUGUAUGUAUUUGUGUGUUUGUGUGUUUGUGAGUGUGUGUGUGUGUGUGUGUGUACAUAUUUAUCGUGCGUAAUUUCAGAAACAAGCAAUGCCUGGGCCCCGACUCGUGGACCUCUGUUAAGGUGGUCGCAGUUACGAUUGUAAGUUCGUGGUUUUGAUUCACAGAUGGGGUCGGUGUGUUUUGUGGAUCUUGAGCAAAAAUCCUUCGUUUCGCUUUACCGCAAAUGAGCCAUAGCUAAGAAAUGAGCCCCUGCGACUGACCGGCGUCUCAUUCGAGACGAAGGCAGGUGGAAUACAAACGAACAAUUGUAUUAGUAUGGCGCUCAGGAAAUAUAAAUAAAACAAGUCUUUAACGUUUCGAGCCUACGCUCUUCAACAGAAAGAUACACAGAGAAGAAACACAGAAAGAAGGAGAGAGAAAGAUGCGUGCAGAGGCUAGCGAAUCAACAUGGCGAUCUGAUUUCGGCCAGAAGUCAAAGAUCAAACGUGAGACGCAAGAGCGAAAUUAGGGGAGAUAAUAAGGUUAAAUGACCUCGCUCCAACAUAAGAGUGUGUGUGUGUAUCAGAAGAGUGUGUGUGUGUGUGUGUAUGAGAGAGUAUUAGUGCGUAUGAGAGGUCUGGACGUGUGUAUGUAUAUAUGAUGUGAUGUGUAAAGUCGUAUGGUGUAGUGUAGAGAGAGGAGAUGAAGGAAGAGGGGGAGGGAAGGGGGGAGAAAGAAAGGGGAGAAGAGGGGAGAAGGAACGGGAGAAGAGGAGGGUGAAGGGGGAGAAGGAAGGAGAGGAGAAGAGGAGGGGAGAGAAGGGGGAGAAAGGUGGAGAGGAGAAGAGGAGGGGAGAGAAGGAUGGAGGAUAGAGGGAGAGGGGGAGAGAGAGAGAAGGGGAGUGAGGGAGCAGAGAGAAAGAGGGAAGGGGAAGAGGGAAGAAGGGAAGAGGAGUAGGGCUGAAAGGAUGAAGGACUGAAGAGAAGUAGGGGUCGGGGGAGGUUAGAUGAGGAGGGAGAGAGUGGGGUUAGAUGAGGAGGGGGGAGAGUUGUGACCAAAUGGCGUAUAAGAGCGAAGAGAGAAGAUUAAUUCCUGUUCACGGCGCAAACCGGAAUCCGGAUGGCCUCUGUGCAAGAACAAACCGAACACAGACAGGUGUUGCAAGGAGUGACCGGUGGAGCGGAAAUGGCGUGAGACCGGUGUGUCGUUCGCAAGGCGGAUGUCACGGAGGUGUUCCGCGAACCGGUCAGCCAAGCGACGUCCCGUUUGUCCGAUGUACAGGGAAUGGCAGAGAGAGCAAGAGACGCAAUAGAUAAUAUUGCUGGAGGUGCAGGUGAAGGAGUUGAUGAUGCGAUAGGGUCGAUGAUGGAUGCCAGUGAGGAGGGUGGUGUUGGAGAGGUAAGGGCAAGUGCGGCAACUAUAUAUAUAUAUAUAUAUAUAUAUAUAUAUAUAUAUAUAUAUAUAUAUGUGUAUAUAUGUUAUACUUAAACUAUAACCCACUCACAACCAUAAUAUUUGUUACUUAUCUUGCUGUAGUUGUAGUUAAAGCUGCUAGUGUUGUUGUUGUUGUUGUUGCCCAGCAACUAAUACUAUGUUACCGGUGGAAUAACAUAAAGCGGAAUUAUAAAGAAAGUUGCUGUGGACGAGACCAUUCUAUCCUCUUUGCUGAUACAGCGAAGGCUCGUGGCUUAGUGGUAAGUGUGUUGGACUCAUGAUCCUACGAUUGUGAUUUCUAUUCAUGGACGGGCGACUAGUUGUGUCUUUCAACAAAGCACUUUGCUUCACGUUACUCCCGUCCAAGCAGCUGGUGAAACGAGUAAUCCUAUGAGUCUCCAUGAUUCGGGAAGGAUUUAUGUAUCUAUUUGCUGACACAAUGCAUCUAGGAAUAUACUAGUUACUUGUUAUUUGACCGUUUUUAUUUAGAGGAAGAAUAUGAUACGAUAAAUAGGUGGCUGCCACUUUUAGCAGGACUUGCGACGUGGUAUGAGCCUAAGGUGGAACACACCUUCUAAUGUAGUCGCACAAUCAAAAACGACUGAUGGAAAGGUAAUGAGGUAGCCUCUAGAGAGUUAGAAAUAGCAACUAGAUCUCCCCCUUAAUUCUCCCAAAUGACUUGACAAAUAAAACAAUUUUCAUUACACUAUUUACAAAGCAAUGGACGGUCACAUUUAAAAUACUUCUAAUCAUAUUUUUUUGCUCGAUAACGAUUCACGCGAGGUGGGAUGUAAAUAACAAUAGAAAUGGUUUAUGCAAUGAGUUUCUCUUUUGAAACCUGAGACGAAAGAGCAGGGAUUUGGAAUUUAUAGUUUCUCAUAGAGAAAUUUGCUAAAUUGUGACUUUUUUUUAUUAAGGAUCUAAGUUCAGGAGAAUGCGUUGGUUGUCUUCAAACUGAAAUUGAUUGAGGGUGUUAGGUUUAUUUUUUAUUUUUAGAGAGGAGACCAGCCGAUAGUCACAGGUCCCUUGUUAACUCAUAAGGUCCUCAUGUCACCGACCCAAACCCCUUUCUUACAGUAUCAGCCCUUCAUAGAUCCUCUCUGAUUUGUAGGAUCGAUAUGAUUGAAGAUUUGCUUGUAUUAGUUCAGGAAGAGAUGUACUUAAAAUAGAUGACAUUCUGGGAAGGAAAGAUAAGCGACAGGUGUUACUACGGGUCUGACAAUGGAGAAAGAGGAACGGCUCGGCGAGUCAGAUGCCACAACAUAAGGGAUGGCAUUGCUAAAAGGUAGAGACCAUUCUACUUACAAGAAACUGUUGGUCACUGAUUCUAUACGGUCGAAUCUGGUGGUUCGUCGGUGUCUGCGGUUUAUAAUGUGCAGCAAAAGCACCGUUCUCGUUGUAGGACCAGUGACCCAUUGUUGUGUCUAACCUGAAUUUAAAUACUUCUUCCGAAAAUGACAUCAUAACUCGCUUGUUUCCCAUUCAGAAAUGUGUGAGACGACGGCUGAUCUUUGUGUGACUGUGAACACAAAUUAACCUCAAGAUUAACCUCAAAUCUUACACCACCAUUUAUGAUAUGGCGGGUCACAUUGAACAAAGUGGUGCUUAGAUAUAUUGAAAGUUAGAGGGACGGUCACGGUUAGAACAACUUUCAUCAGAGCUUUGUUCAAAGACGAUUCUCUUGAUAACUAACAACAACAACAACAACAAAACAAGGGACAACGACGACGACAAGAACGCCAACUAGUUAGUAUACUUCUAUUGCGCAUUCGUCUUAUUUCAGUUUUCGCAGACGAAUCUCAAAAUAACUUGAUAGAAUUAAAAACCAAUAUUUUAUGACAUAUUUUGUGUAGGUGUGACUGCUAUGCUAAGUGAAGGAGUUAAACCGAAAGUUGAUAAAUAAAUAAAUAAAUAUGAGGACCAUAUAGCGAAAUAAGUAAAUAAGAAAAAAAUAUAUAAAUGCAUACGUUUUA